rnacentral:rRNA from 1 species
GGGUAGUAAUAUUCAGUGGCUAAGCGAAAGCGAUAAGUGAUCCACCUGGGGAGUACGAUCGCAAGGUUGAAACUCAAAGGAAUUGACGGGGGCCCGCACAAGCGGAGGAGCAUGUGGUUUAAUUCGAUGAUACGCGAGGAACCUUACCCGGGCUUGAACGUAAGACGAAUAUACAGGAAACUGUAUAGCCUACGGGCGUCUUGCGAGGUGCUGCAUGGUUGUCGUCAGCUCGUGCCGUGAGGUGUUAGGUUAAGUCCUGCAACGAGCGCAACCCUUACACAUAGUUGCCAGCACGUAAUGGUGGGGACUCUAUGGGAACUGCCUACGCAAGUAGAGAGGAAGGUGGGGAUGACGUCAAAUCAGCACGGCCCUUAUGUUCGGGGCUACACACGUGCUACAAUGGCAUAUACAGAGGGCAGCCACUACGCGAGUAGGAGCUAAUCCUCAAAGUAUGUCUCAGUUCGGAUUGGAGUCUGUAACUCGACUCUAUGAAGUUGGAUUCGCUAGUAAUCGCGC